rnacentral:tRNA from 1 species
UUUUGUGGUAAAACUAGCCUUCCAAGCU